rnacentral:rRNA from 1 species
AUGGUCGCCGCCGCCGUUCGUCUCUUUCUUCCCACAACGCCUCCCCAUCCCCCAUCAGCCGUCGCUGUGCGCCGUUGUUCUGGACCGGUCGGAGGUCGCUGCAAAGGAGCAGAGGAGGACGGCAGUGGGGCGAAGCAGCAGAGUGUGCAAAUGGUUAUGGCUUAUCAGGAGGAGGGGAGCAGCAGCCGUGCCAGCCGGCGCGCAUCUCAUCGCAAUGCAUGCAGCUGCAGCAAGCUGAAGACAUGGCCCUCCAUGAGCGGCAGUCAGCACGAGGUCGGGGUGGAGGGCCAUGAGCACCAGGAGGCGCGUCGAGGGGCACCAGGAGGCACCAUGGUCAUUGUGGGAGCACGCCAAACCCGAAGGCCAUCACCAGCCGUUGUCCACGCCCUAGAGCUUAGGUGA